UGAGAGUUCGCAUCUCAAUCCAAGAGA
rnacentral:piRNA from 1 species